rnacentral:rRNA from 1 species
CGGACCGGCGCACGGGUGAGUAACGCGUAUGCAACUUACUAUCGAGGGGGGAGUAACCCGGCGAAAGUCGGACUAAUACCGCAUGAAGCAGGGGCCCCGCAUGGGGAUAUUUGCUAAAGAUUCAUCGCUGAUAGAUAGGCAUGCGUUCCAUUAGGCAGUUGGCGGGGUAACGGCCCACCAAACCGACGAUGGAUAGGGGUUCUGAGAGGAAGGUCCCCCACAUUGGUACUGAGACACGGACCAA